rnacentral:tRNA from 1 species
GGUCGCGUGGCCGAGUGGUCAGGCACAGGUCUGCAAAACCUUUUACCCCGGUUCGAUCCCGGGCGCGACCUCCA